AGAGCGUGGAGGUUCGAGUCCUCUUC
rnacentral:tRNA from 1 species